AAUGGGAACAUUCAGCGGUUGGACCCCAAAUUCGUGGGCAGCUCACAGCGAUCCAGUGAUUAUAGAUUGACCAUUGGGGCGGGGCAUGUUUUCAGCUUGGCCAAUCGUGGAAAGAUCGGAUGUUCGAAUGUUACUUCACCGGGCCCACUAGACAGCAUUUUACGAACCGAAUUGGGUGGGAAAGAAUUCCUGUAUAGUAGAAGAAAAAAAUGUGAAAAUGUUGGCAGGUACAUGGAAUGUUGGACAAGGAAGGGCUUCUCAUGAUCCGCUCAUAGCAUGGCUUGGUUCUGCAGCACCUUUAGCUGGUAUAGUGGUGGUUUGGCUUCAAGAAGUUGAAAUGGGUGCUGGUUUCCUUGCUGUGUCUGCAGCUAAAGAGACGGUGGGGCUCGAGUGUAGUGCUUUUGGGCAAUGGUGGCUCGAUAUGAUCGGCAAAAUACUUGAUGACUGAUCAAAUAUGUAUUGGUUCUAGGCAGCUCGCUGACCUGCCGAUGGCUGUCUGGUGAGUCUGUAUUUGUGAAUUUUUGUAGAAUGUUUGUUUUGGUGCAUGUUUUUCAGGUAGUUUAAGGUUGAUCUCCUUAGAUCAGCUAAUGAGAUUUUGAAAUGCUUGCUCAGUUCCUGGCUGCCCUAUGUUUAGCAAUGGCAAACUUGCAACACAUGAUAUCCCAAGGUUUGCAUUUGUUUCAGUUUUUCACAUAAAGCUUUUUUCGUGCAAUCCUACUUAAGCUGUAAUAUUUGGUUGUAUUUCUUUCGUGCCUCCAUUGUGCUUAUUAAAAGAAUUAGUGUUUUAUUGAUCACCGUGCUUAUAAAAAGUGGGGAAAAGUACAAAAAGUUCUUUUGUGAUUUGGGAUCGGGAAAAAUUAAACCAUGUGUUUUUGUUAUGGACAAUUAGCCUCCUAGGGUGUACUUUGUCAACCAUAAGGAGUUACGAUAUUAGUUUUUUUUUUUCAUUUUUAGCCCUUGAUCUUUAGCCAUUUAAUCAUUUUGGUUCUAAAUCAUUUUUCAUUUAUCAUUCCCACCAUCAACUUUUUAUAUUUUUCAUUUUGGUCCUAAAAAGAAAAUCGAUAGGAAAGGAGGGGUCAGGGCUGCUAAUCACCGAGGUCACCGGCGUCCUCUAUUGGUAUCGGCGACCUUGGUGGAGGGGUUGAGGUCACCAGUUGGUGGCCCCAGCACUCGAAUUGACUAGGGACUCCGAGAUCGAUUCACGGGCUGGGGUCACCAAGCGACGACUCCGGCCUCUCCACAGAGGUCGUCAAUACCCAUGAAGGAUGUCGGUGACCUCGGUGAUUGGCGAUCCCGACCCCUCCUUCCCAAUCGAUUUUCUUUUAGGAAUAAAGUGAAAAAAAUAAAAAAGUUGAGGAUAAGAAUGAUAAAAGAAAAAAGAUUUAGAACCAAAAUGAUUAAAAGGCUAAAGAUUGAAGAUUAAAAAUGAAAAAAAAACGAUGUAACCCUUUUUUGCUAAUGGAAUACACCACAGAUGAGCUAAUUAUCCCUAACAAAAAUACAUUGUGCAAUUUAUCCCUAUUCGAAACGUCAAUGGAGUUUUUGUACUUUUCCUUAAAAAGAAUAAUAGUGUUUUCUUUCUAUCUAAUUUCUCCUUCCUUUCUUUCUUUCUUUCUGAUUUUCCUUCCCUCUGCAAUUCCCGGCCAUCAUGCUCUUGUUUUGUGUAGUCUCUUUCUGACUUGGGAGUGUAUAAAGCAUAACCGGUUCCCGCUAAAAAAUUGCAGAAAGUAUUGCGUAUUUUAAGAGCAUUGCUCUCUCUCCGCAACUGCUGGAACCUCUCUUUGCUGCAGGACAUUUUUUACCUGUAACCCGUUAUGAGUUAGCGAUUAUCCAUAUUCAAAUAUUGACAAAUUUAAUCCCUGAAAUUUAACACUUUGUGUUUGAAACGUACGAGGUUUGCAUGGAUGUGAUUGACAGCAAUCACAAGCCCGUCCGCUGCACUUUCAGUGUGGAUAUUGCUCAGAUCAAUUAAUCAGUGAGGAGAUGUGAGUUCGGGGAGAUUAUCAUGUCCAAAUGGAAAUGUCGACUCUCUGCUUGAUCGGCUGUUUGAGAUCCCAGAAACCAUAGUCAGCACCAACAACAUAAUCAUUUAAAAUGAAGACAGCAUCCAAUUCUGUUCAUUACCAACAGAUCUAGGAAGGAUAUUGCUCUGUUCCAGAUAAUUUGUGAUGGCGUCUUCAAGCAGCAGAUCAUCGUCCAAGGGGUUCCUUUGGGUUUCCACCAUGGCUCGAGGUGAGUCGCAUUUCUAGCACGAUUGAGCCUGAUCACACGGUCGAGGUGUUGGCGCAUCACAUGGUUGGUGGGAAAACCCCCAACCCAAGAAAGUCAUAAGAGUGAUUCGGGUGGGGCGGGAGCUACAUCACUCAAACAAAGUGUCACAGGGUCCGGGUGCACCACUGCUCCACCGCAAGAACAAAGCAAAUAGUAGUCAAGCCAUCACCAGACUCAAAGAGGCAGCCACAGAUCCUCUAGCGGUCUGGUGUACAGUGUCUUAGCGGUUCCAUUGAAACCGUGGCACACCUGAGGAAUUUGCAGAGUCCGUGAAUUGACAGACAGGUUUGGAUAUCUGGGUGGAGAAAAUGUCGAGAUUAUCAACCAGUCGAUCGGCAUACCUUUGUUUAUCUUGUGGAUGAUGAGCAAAUGUACAGAAAACUUGAUAUUACUUGAGAAAAUAUUAGCCUCUGUCAAUAUUCAUUACUUGAGAAAAUAUUAGCCUUGGAGAACUUGACUCGGAAGCUCUUCUCCCCCCUCAGCAACCGCAAAGCCCUGUUGAUCUCCCCGAGCUUGCAGUAUUUCCCGACGAGCAUGAAACAUACAUUAGACAGGGGAACCUUACACUGGACAAAGAAUAAUCCAUGCACCGAAGC